rnacentral:rRNA from 1 species
UACGAAGGGGGCUAGCGUUGCUCGGAAUCACUGGGCGUAAAGGGUGCGUAGGUGGGUCUUUAAGUCAGAGGUGAAAUCCUGGAGCUCAACUCCAGAACUGCCUUUGAUACUGAGGGUCUUGAGUAUGACAGAGGUGAGUGGAACUGCGAGUGUAGAGGUGAAAUUCGUAGAUAUUCGCAAGAACACCAGUGGCGAAGGCGGCUCACUGGCCCGGUACUGACGCUGAGGUGCGAAAGCGUGGGGAGCAAACAGG